GAUGAAGAACGCAGCGAAAUGCGAUACUUGGUGUGAAUUGCAGAAUCCCGUGAACCAUCGAGUCUUUGAACGCAAGUUGCGCCUCAAGCCAUUAGGUUGAGGGCACGUCUGCCUGGGCGUCACAUAUCGUUGCCUGAUGCCAGUUUCCUCGUGAUGGGUGACUGUGCAGGGCGAAUGAUGGCUUCCCGUGAGCAUUGUUGCCUCAUGGUUGGUUGAAAAUUGAGUCCUUGGUAGGGAGCGCCGUGAUAGAUGGUGGUUGAGUGACGAACGAGACCCAAUCAUGUGAGACCCCUACCGAAUUUGCCCUUCAUGACCCACAUGCGUCUUUGGAACGCUCAUGACGAGACCUCAGGUCAGGCGAGGCUACCCGCUGAGUUUAAGCAUAUCAAUAAGCGGAGGA
rnacentral:misc_RNA from 1 species